rnacentral:rRNA from 1 species
GACAGAGGGGCAAGCGUUAUUCGGAAUUAUUGGGCGUAAAGGGCGCGUAGGCGGCUUGGCAAGUGGAAGGUGAAAUCCCUCGGCUUAACCGAGGAACUGCCUCCAAACUGCUUGGCUUGAGACCGGGAGAGGUGAGUGGAAUUCCAGUGUAGCGGUGAAAUGCGUAGAUAUUGGAGGAACACCAGUGGCGAAGGCGGCGACCUGGUCCUUUACUGACGCUGAGGCGCGAAGCGUGGAGCAACAGG